UACGUAGGGUGCGAGCGUUGUCCGGAAUUAUUGGGCGUAAAGAGCUUGUAGGCGGUUUGUCGCGUCUGCUGUGAAAAUCCGGGGCUCAACCCCGGACUUGCAGUGGGGUACGGGCAGACUAGAGUGUGGUAGGGGAGACUGGAAUUCCUGGUGUAGCGGUGGAAUGCGCAGAUAUCAGGAGGAACACCGAUGGCGAAGGCAGGUCUCUGGGCCGAUACUGACGCUGGAGGAGCGAAAGCGUGGGGAGCGAACAGG
rnacentral:rRNA from 1 species